UACGUAGGAUGCAAGCGUUGUUCGGAAUUACUGGGCGUAAAGAGUACGUAGGCGGUUUGAUAAGUCUGAAAUUAAAGACUGAGGCUUAACCUCAGGAAUGUAUCGGAAACUGUCAGACUAGAGGACAAUAGAGGAAGUCGGAAUUCUCAGUGUAGCGGUGAAAUGCGUAGAUAUUGGGAAGAACACCAGUGGCGAAAGCGGACUUCUGGGUUGUUACUGACGCUGAGGAGCGAAAGCCAGGGGAGCAAACGGG
rnacentral:rRNA from 1 species